rnacentral:tRNA from 1 species
GGGGGUGUAGCUCAAUUGGUAGAGCGCUUGCUUUGCACGCAAGAGGUCGCUGGUUCGAUUCCAGUCAUCUCCACCA